rnacentral:rRNA from 1 species
UACGUAGGGUGCAAGCGUUAUCCGGAAUUAUUGGGCGUAAAGAGCUCGUAGGCGGUUUGUCGCGUCUGCUGUGAAAACUGGAGGCUCAACCUCCAGCCUGCAGUGGGUACGGGCAGACUAGAGUGAUGUAGGGGAGACUGGAAUUCCUGGUGUAGCAGUGAAAUGCGUAGAUAUCAGGAGGAACACCGAUGGCGAAGGCAGGUCUCUGGGCUGACACUGACGCUCAUGCACGAAAGCGUGGGGAGCAAACAGG